AGGACGAACGCUGGCGGCGUGCUUAACACAUGCAAGUCGAGCGGAAAGGCCCUUCGGGGUACUCGAGCGGCGAACGGGUGAGUAACACGUGAGCAACCUGCCCUUAGCUCUGGGAUAGCUCCGGGAAACCGGAAUUAAUACCGGAUGUUACACCGGCUGGCAUCGGCUGGUGUGGAAAGAUUUAUCGGCUAAGGAUGGACUCGCGGCCUAUCAGCUUGUUGGUGGGGUAGAAGCCUACCAAGGCGACGACGGGUA
rnacentral:rRNA from 1 species